AUCCAACUGAAGAGUCCCAAAUAAGACAAAACGCGAAUCCUGGAU
rfam:Schistosoma rodhaini strain Burundi genome assembly, scaffold: SROB_scaffold0011958